UGGGGAAUUUUGGACAAUGGGCGCAAGCCUGAUCCAGCCAUGCCGCGUGUCUGAAGAAGGCCUUCGGGUUGUAAAGGACUUUUGUCAGGGAAGAAAAGGCUGUUGCUAAUAUCAGCGGCUGAUGACGGUACCUGAAGAAUAAGCACCGGCUAACUACGUGCCAGCAGCCGCGGUAAUACGUAGGGUGCAAGCGUUAAUCGGAAUUACUGGGCGUAAAGCGAGCGCAGACGGUUACUUAAGCAGGAUGUGAAAUCCCCGGGCUCAACCUGGGAACUGCGUUCUGAACUGGGUGACUAGAGUGUGUCAGAGGGAGGUAGAAUUCCACGUGUAGCAGUGAAAUGCGUAGAGAUGCGGAGGAAUACCGAUGGCGAAGGCAGCCUCCUGGGAUAACACUGACGUUCAUGCUCGAAAGCGUGGGUAGCAAACAGGAUUAGAUACCCUGGUAGUCCACGCCCUAAACGAUGUCAAUUAGCUGUUGGGCAACUUGAUUGUUCAGUAGCGUAGCUAACGCGUGAAAUUGACCGCCUGGGGAGUACGGUCGCAAGAUUA
rnacentral:rRNA from 1 species